GGCGCCAGGCACCCACGCGCGCAUGCGCCCCUCGGCGCCGUGGCCAGGCGCUGAGUCCCGUCCAGGCUUCUGCACCGGCUCCGCGAAGGGGAAGGCUGUGAACUCCCCAAGGACAGUAACUACAGCCAAGUGACACAGAGAAGCUGCUCAAUAAAUAUUUGCUGAAUGCGUGAAUGGUACCACUGCUGAAAAAGGAAAAUCAAAGACCUAUUCCAGCUGCUCUCAUCUGACAGAAGAGGAAAUAGGCCCAAUUAAGGCCCUUUCUUGCUGCGGGUAUCAUAGGGAACACACGAGGCCAGUGCAGGUUCCAGGCUGCUAGAGAGACUAUUGUUUAGUUUUCAAUUGUGUGGUGCCAGGACACUGAAUGGAGGAGGAUAAAUUGGGAUGGAUGGGAAGGCAGCUGUGGCCCAGUCUACACCAAAUAUAGGUGGAUACUUCUACUCUGAGGAGCAACCCAGUCUACCAGAAUCAGCUGGUGUUUGAAUCCCACUCCACCACUGAAUGGCCUUGGACAAGUCACUUUGGCACCCAUGAAAUGAGGACAGCAACACCUACUGCAUCAGAUUAUGGUGAAGCUAAAUGUAUGAUGCAUACAAAGUACCUAAGAUGAUAUUUGGUACAUAGAAAAAGGCUUUGUAAACCCAUAAUCCAACCACAUGUACUCUUCUAAAGAAAAAUAAUCACACCAAGAAUAGGAAUUUGCCAAAUAAGAUGUAAGCAAUACCAAAUAUUUUUUAAAUCAAAAUUUUAUAGUAACACGAACUAACCCCAGAUCCUGGCCUGCUUAAUAAAUCUCCUAUAAAGCUGA